rnacentral:rRNA from 1 species
GAUUAACGCUGGCGGCGUGCCUAACACAUGCAAGUCGAGCGGCAGCGAGUUUUACACUGAAUUCUGGAAGCUUCUAGUUGAAAGAGAAGAUUUAUUCAAGAAUUUUGUGUAAAAUGUCGGCGAGCGGCGGACGGCUGAGUAACGCGUGGGAACGUACCCCAAAGUGAGGGAUAACGCAUCGAAAGGUGUGCUAAUACCGCAUAUGGUCUUCGGAUUAAAGCCUUCGGGCGCUUUGGGAACGGCCUGCGUAAGAUUAGAUAGUUGGUGGGGUAAUGGCCUACCAAGUCGACGAUCUUUAACUGGUUUGAGAGGAUGAUCAGUCAGACUGGAACUGAGACACGGUCCAGACUCCUACGGGAGGCAGCAGUGAGGAAUCUUCCACAAUGGGCGAAAGCCUGAUGGAGCAACGCCGCGUGCAGGAUGAAGGCCUUCGGGUUGUAAACUGCUUUUAGAAGUGAGGAUUAUGACAGGAACUUAUGAAUAAGGAUCGGCUAACUACGU